rnacentral:tRNA from 1 species
GCACCCAUAGCUCAGUUGGAUAGAGCGACGGUCUACGAAACCGUAGGUCGCAUGUUCGAAUCAUGCUGGGUGCA